rnacentral:rRNA from 1 species
GAAGAAACUAACGAGGAUUCCCCGAGUAGCGGCGAGCGAAACGGGAACAGCCCAGCGCUGAAUCCUGCGGCCCCGGCGGGCCGCCGGGAAAUGUAGCGUUCGGGAGGAGAACUCAACAUAUACACGCGCGGUCAUUAGUCACGGCUGCCUGUCCAAGUUCAUCUUGAACGGGGCCCGCUUACCCGCAGAGGGUGCCAGGCCCGUGGUGACGGUAGCCGGCCGCGACGGUCUCCCUCCCAAGAGUCGGGUUGCUUGAGAGUGCAGCCCUAAGUGGGUGGUAAACUCCAUCUAAGGCUAAAUACUACCACGAGACCGAUAGCGAACAAGUAC